rnacentral:tRNA from 1 species
GGGGGUAUAGCUCAGUGGUAGAGCACGUCCUUAGCAUGCACGAGGUCUUGGGUUCAAUCCCUUGUAUCUCCA